rnacentral:rRNA from 1 species
UACGGGGGGAGCAAGCGUUGUUCGGAAUCACUGGGCGUAAAGGGCGUGUAGGCGGUCAAGUAAGUGGAAUGUGAAACGCCUCGGCUUACCCGAGGACCUGCAUCCCAAACUGCUUGGCUUGAGUAUGGGAGAGGAUGAGGGAAUUCCUGGUGUAGCGGUGAAAUGCGUAGAUAUCUGGAGGAACAUCGGUGGCGAAGGCGGCAUCCUGGACCGGUAUUGACGCUGAGGCGCGAAAGCCAGGGGAGCAAACGGG